rnacentral:rRNA from 1 species
GACGAACGCUGGCGGCGUGCUUAACACAUGCAAGUCGAACGGUGAAGCGCCUUCCUUUUUGGUGGGUGUGGAUGAGUGGCGAACGGGUGAGUAACACGUGAGUAACCUGCCCCCUUCUUCUGGAUAACCGCAUGAAAGUGUGGCUAAUACGGGAUAUUCUGGGUCUGUCGCAUGAUGGGUCUGGGAAAGAUAUUGUUUCGGUGGGGGAUGGGCUCGCGGCCUAUCAGCUUGUUGGUGGGGUGAUGGCCUACCAAGGCGGUGACGGGUAGCCGGCCUGAGAGGGUGGACGGUCACACUGGGACUGAGACACGGCCCAGACUCCUACGGGAGGCAGCAGUGGGGAAUAUUGCACAAUGGGCGCAAGCCUGAUGCAGCGACGCCGCGUGAGGGAUGGAGGCCUUCGGGUUGUGAACCUCUUUCGCCAGUGAAGCAGGCCUGCCUCGUUUGUGGGUGGGUUGACGGUAGCUGGAUAAAAAGCGCCGGCUAACUACGUG